rnacentral:rRNA from 1 species
UACGUAGGGUGCAAGCGUUGUCCGGAAUUAUUGGGCGUAAAGAGCUCGUAGGCGGUCUGUUGCGUCGGCUGUGAAACCCGGGGCUCAACCCCGGGCCUGCAGCCGAUACGGGCAGACUAGAGUUCGGCAGGGGAGACUGGAAUUCCUGGUGUAGCGGUGAAAUGCGCAGAUAUCAGGAGGAACACCGGUGGCGAAGGCGGGUCUCUGGGCCGAUACUGACGCUGAGGAGCGAAAGCGUGGGGAGCGAACAGG